rnacentral:misc_RNA from 1 species
GGAAAACGGAUUGCAGGGGAGCAGCGCCCAGGGAAGAUGCGCGCGUGAAACGCCAUGGCUGGGCGCGGCGGCUGGAGAAGAAGCAGCUCCGCUGCAGGAAACCAGAAGCGGCCGAGCGCCAGGAGGGAGAAGUGGAAGGAGCAAGACUCGGGCGCGCACCAUUGGAGGACUGGACGGAGCUUGGUGGCCAUGGCUGGAGCACCGCAGCGCGCGACGCAAUGGAGAAGAGGAGCGAUUGGCGCGUGUGGGAGAUAGAGCAGAGAUGCGCGGGCCUAGCUGGGAGGCCGCGACAGGGGGAGAAGACGAGGGAGCCUAGCUCCGGCUGGGCUGCAGUCAGGCGCGGGGAGCAGACGAGGAAAGCAGCCGAGCGAAACAAUUAAUAUCAGGGAGAGUUUUGAGCGGUGGGGGAGAUAAGGACUGCACGCGACUUAGAAAAAAUCAGAGAGCUGGCGCUUGGGGAAGAGGGCGACGCGGUUGGAGAAGCUCCACGCGCGCGUGCGCAGGGACGAGCAGGGAGGACACAAGCUCCAUGCUGGAGAAGAGCAGUGCGAGGAAGAUGGCUGGUAAAAAAAAUCCCAGGGAAGGAGACGAGAUCCAAGGCUGGGGCGGUGCUCUGCUGUAGAUUUGGAAAAAUCAUCGACGAGAUAAGACCAUGCGGCUGCAGGAAAAAAAAUCAAGGAGAAGAAGAGCG